rnacentral:rRNA from 1 species
UAUUGGACAAUGGGGGCAACCCUGAUCCAGCCAUGCCGCGUGUGUGAAGAAGGUCUUCGGAUUGUAAAGCACUUUAAGUUGGGAGGAAGGGCUUUAGGUUAAUACCCUGAAGCUGUGACGUUACCAACAGAAUAAGCACCGGCUAACUCUUUGCGAGCAGCCGCGGUAAUACAGAGGGUGCAACCGUUAAUCGGAAUUACUGGGCGUAAAGCGCGCGUAGGUGGUUCAGUAAGAUGGGUGUGAAAUCCCCGGGCUUCACCUGGGAACUGCUUGCAUUACUGCUUAGCUAGAGUACGGUAGGGGGUAGUGGAAUUUCCUGUGUAGCGGUGAAAUGCGUAGAUAUAGGAAGGAACACCAGUGGCGAAGGCGACUACCUGGACUGAUACUGACACUGAGGUGCGAAAGCGUGGGGAGCAAAC